AUUGAACGCUGGCGGCAGGCCUAACACAUGCAAGUCGAACGAGUGGCGGACGGGUGAGUUAUGUCUGGGAAACUGCGCGAGGGAGGGGGAUAACUACUGGAAACGGUAGAUAAUACCGCAUACUAACAGAUGUGCACAGAUGGGAUUAGAUAGGAGGUGGGGUAAUGGCUCACCUAGGCGACGAUCCCUAGCUGGUCUGAGAGGAUGACCAGCCACACUGGAACGGAGACACGGUCCAGACUCCUACGGGAGGCAGCAGUGGGGAAUAUUGCACAAUGGGCGCAAGCCUGAUGCAGCCAUGCCGCGUGUAUGAAGAAGGCCUUCGGGUUGUAAAGCACUUUCAGCGGGGAGGCGUUACUCGCAGAAGAAGCACCGGCUAACUCCGUGCCAGCAGCCGCGGUAAUUC
rnacentral:rRNA from 1 species